CGAUAAGCGUCGGGGAGGUGCGAAUACCCUUUGAUCCGACGAUUUCCGAAUGGGGCAACCCACCUUAGAUGACUAGAAAAUCUGUUUUGUUGGAGCAACGCUGGAUGGGUUUACACCCAUACAGACCGCUAGGUCGUCGGCCCAUGUGGGCCGCCCCCCGCGGAGCGCCAGCAUUCCUCUGGAAUGCGUACGGCGCGUGAGCGAGAACAGCACAGCUUUCUAGUCAUCAUAAAUAAGGUAUCUAACCUUGAAUACAUAGGGGUUAGAAGCGAACCUGGGGAACUGAAACAUCUAAGUACCCAGAGGAAAGGACAUCAAACGAGACUCCGCUAGUAGUGGCGAGCGAACGCGGACCAGGCCAGUGGCUUUUGUGAAUAAAGUGGAACGAGUUGGAAAACUCGACCGAAGUGGGUGAUAGUCCCGUACACGUAGAAUAGCAGAAGUCCUUGAGUAGGGCGGGACACGUGAAAUCCUGUCUGAACAUGGGUCGACCACGAUCCAAGCCUAAGUACUCGUGCAUGACCGAUAGCGAACCAGUACCGUGAGGGAAAGGUGAAAAGCACCCCGACGAGGGGAGUGAAACAGUACCUGAAACCGGAUGCCUACAAACAGUUGGAGCCCAAGGUUUGUCCUGGGUGACAGCGUACCUUUUGUAUAAUGGGUCAGCGACUUAGUGUAUCGAGCAAGCUUAAGCCGGUAGGUGUAGGCGCAGCGAAAGCGAGUCUGAACAGGGCGUUCAGUUCGAUGCAUUAGACCCGAAACCAAGUGAUCUAGCCAUGAGCAGGUUGAAGGUACGGUAACACGUACUGGAGGACCGAACCCAUAUCUGUUGCAAUAGAUCGGGAUGACUUGUGGCUAGGGGUGAAAGGCCAAUCAAACUUGGAGAUAGCUGGUUCUCCGCGAAAUCUAUUUAGGUAGAGCGUCGACCGAAUACCCCCGGGGGUAGAGCACUGGAUGGGCUAUGGGGACUCACCGUCUUACUGAUCCUAACCAAACUCCGAAUACCGGGGAGUACUAGUCGGCAGACACACGGCGGGUGCUAACGUCCGUCGUGGAGAGGGCAACAACCCUGACCACCAUCUAAGGUCCCUAAGUUAUGGCUAAGUGGGAAAGGAUGUGAGGAUCCCAAAACAACCAGGAUGUUGGCUUAGAAGCAGCCAUCAUUUAAAGAAAGCGUAACAGCUCACUGGUCUAAAUAAGGGUCUUUGCGCCGAAAAUGUACCGGGGCUCAAGCCAUACACCGAAGCUGUGGAUGCACGUAUGUGCGUGGUAGCGGAGCGUUCCGUAAGCCUGUGAAGGGACAGUCGUGAGACAUCCUGGAGGUAUCGGAAGUGAGAAUGCUGACAUGAGUAACGAUAAAGGGAGUGAGAGACUCCCUCGCCGAAAGUCCAAGGGUUCCUGCUUAAAGUUAAUCUGAGCAGGGUUAGCCGGCCCCUAAGGCGAGGCCGAAAGGCGUAGUCGAUGGGAACCACGUUAAUAUUCGUGGGCCUGCAGGUAGUGACGGAUCGCGUGUGUUGUGAGGUCUUAUUGGAUUGAUCUUGCAGCGAAGCGGUUCCAGGAAAUAGCUCCUGCAUAUAGACCGUACCCUAAACCGACACUGGUGGACUGGUA
rnacentral:rRNA from 1 species